rnacentral:rRNA from 1 species
UACGAAGGGGGCUAGCGUUGCUCGGAAUCACUGGGCGUAAAGGGUGCGUAGGCGGAUUUUUAAGUCAGGGGUGAAAUCCUGGAGCUCAACUCCAGAACUGCCUUUGAUACUGAAGAUCUUGAGUCCGGGAGAGGUGAGUGGAACUGCGAGUGUAGAGGUGAAAUUCGUAGAUAUUCGCAAGAACACCAGUGGCGAAGGCGGCUCACUGGCCCGGUACUGACGCUGAGGUGCGAAAGCGUGGGGAGCAAACAGG